rnacentral:rRNA from 1 species
AUUGAACGCUGGCGGCAGGCCUAACACAUGCAAGUCGAACGAGUGGCGGACGGGUGAGUAAUGUCUGGGAAACUGCCUGAUGGAGGGGGAUAACUACUGGAAACGUUAGCUAAUACCGCAUACCAUCAGAUGUGCCCAUAGGGGAUUAGCUUGUUGGUGGGGUAACGGCUAACCAAUGCGACGAUCUCUAGCUGGUCUGAGAGUAUGAUGAGCCACACUGGGACUGAGACACGGUCCAGACGCCUACGGGAGGCAGCAGUGGGGAAUAUUGCACAAUGGGCGCAAGCCUGAUGCAGCCAUGCCGCGUGUAUGAAGAAGGCCUUCGGGUUGUAAAGUACUUUCAGCGGGGAGGCGUUACCCGCAGAAGAAGCACCGGCUAACUCCGUGCCAGCAGCCGCGGUAAUUC